rnacentral:rRNA from 1 species
AUUGAACGCUGGCGGAAUGCUUUACACAUGCAAGUCGAACGGCAGCACGGGGGCAACCCUGGUGGCGAGUGGCGAACGGGUGAGUAAUACAUCGGAACGUGCCCAGUCGUGGGGGAUAACGUAGCGAAAGUUACGCUAAUACCGCAUACGAUCUACGGAUGAAAGCGGGGGAUCGCAAGACCUCGCGCGAUUGGAGCGGCCGAUGUCAGAUUAGGUAGUUGGUGGGGUAAAGGCUCACCAAGCCGACGAUCUGUAGCUGGUCUGAGAGGACGACCAGCCACACUGGGACUGAGACACGGCCCAGACUCCUACGGGAGGCAGCAGUGGGGAAUUUUGGACAAUGGACGCAAGUCUGAUCCAGCCAUUCCGCGUGCAGGACGAAGGCCUUCGGGUUGUAAACUGCUUUUGUACGGAACGAAAAAGCCUUGGCUAAUACCCGGGGUCCAUGACGGUACCGUAAGAAUAAGCACCGGCUAACUACGUG